rnacentral:rRNA from 1 species
UGGCGGACGGGGGAGUAAUGUCUGGGAAACUGCCUGAUGGAGGGGGGUAACUACUGGAAACGGUAGCUAAUACCGCAUAACGUCGCAAGACCAAAGAGGGGACCUUCGGGCCUCUUGCCAUCGGAUGUGCCCAGAUGGGAUUAGCUAGUAGGUGGGGUAACGGCUCACCUAGGCGACGAUCCCUAGCUGGUCUGAGAGGAUGACCAGCCACACUGGAACUGAGACACGGUCCAG